rnacentral:tRNA from 1 species
GGGGAUGUAGCUCAGUGGUAGAGUGCCUGCUUGCUUAGCAUGCAGGGAGCCUGGGUUCCAUCUCCA